CGAACGCUGGCGGCGUGCUUAACACAUGCAAGUCGAACGCUGAAGCUUGGUGCUUGCACUGGGUGGAUGAGUGGCGAACGGGUGAGUAAUACGUGAGUAACCUGCCCUUGACUCUGGGAUAAGCCUGGGAAACUGGGUCUAAUACUGGAUACGACAUGUCACCGCAUGGUGGUGUGUGGAAAGGGUUUUACUGGUUUUGGAUGGGCUCACGGCCUAUCAGCUUGUUGGUGGGGUAAUGGCUCACCAAGGCGACGACGGGUAGCCGGCCUGAGAGGGUGACCGGCCACACUGGGACUGAGACACGGCCCAGACUCCUACGGGAGGCAGCAGUGGGGAAUAUUGCACAAUGGGCGGAAGCCUGAUGCAGCGACGCCGCGUGAGGGAUGACGGCCUUCGGGUUGUAAACCUCUUUCAGCACGGAAGAAGCGAAAGUGACGGUACGUGCAGAAGAAGCGCCGGCUAACUACGUG
rnacentral:rRNA from 1 species